rnacentral:rRNA from 1 species
AUGGAGUCAUUGCUCGCAGCUGCGGCUGCCGGGGUGGAGCCGUUCCCGUCGGUGGACAAAUGCGACGCGUCGGGGCGCGGCUCGCACGCCGUGGCAGCCGACCUCGACGGGACGCUGCUGCGGUCUCGCAGCCCGUUCCCCUACUACGCGCUGGUGGCGUUCGAGACCGGUGGGUGGCCGCGGCUCCUGCUCCUGCUUCUCCUCGCGCCGUUAGCCACCCUGCUGGGCAUCGCCGCAUCGGAGGCUGCGGCUGUCCGAGUGCUCGUUUUCGCGGCCACGGCGGGAGCGCGGGUGUCAUCGAUCGAGUCCGCGGCGCAGGCCGUGCUGCCGCGGUUCUACGCCGCGGACGUGCACCCGGGCGCGUGGCGGGUGUUCUCGGCGUGUUCCAGGCGCCGCGUCGUGCUCACCUCCACGCCGCGGAUCAUGGCGGAGCCGUUCCUGAGGGAGUGCCUCGGAGCCGACGCCGUGGCAGGCACCGAGCUCGCCACGUGGCGCGGCCGCGCCACUGGGAUGGUGCACACGCGCCGGGGCGUGCUCGUCGGGCGACGCAAGGCCGAGGCGCUGCAUGAGAUAUUUGACGAGGAUGGCGACGUGCCGGACGUCGGCCUCGGCGACCGCCGGUCCGAUUACCCCUUCAUGUGCCAAUGCAAGGAAGCGUACAUCGUACCGUCGGCGCCGGUGGAGGCCGUUAGCAUGGACCAGCUGCGGAGGCAGGUCAUCUUCCACGACGGCCGCCUGGCGCUCCGCCCGACGCCGCUGGCCGCGCUGCUGACCGUGCUGUGGUGCCCGGCGGGCUUCGUCCUCGCGUGCCUCCGCAUCGCCGCGGGGGCGCUGCUGCCCAUGCCCUGGGUCUACUACGCCUUCUGGGCGCUCGGCGUGCGCGUCGUGGUCAAGGGCAGCCCGCCGCCGCGCGCCGGGAGCACGGCGGGCCGCACCGGGGUGCUCUUCGCCUGCUCGCACCGCACGCUGCUGGACCCCAUUUUCCUCUCGGCGGCGCUCGGCCGGCCCGUGGCGGCCGUCACCUACUCACUGUCAAGGCUGUCUGAGAUGCUCUCGCCGAUCCGGACCGUGCGCCUGAGCCGUAACCGCGUCACCGACGCCGCCAUGAUCACGAGGCUCCUGCAGGAGGGCGACCUCGCCAUCUGCCCCGAGGGGACGACGUCCCGAGAGCCGUUCCUGCUCCGGUUCUCGGCGCUCUUCGCGGAGCUCACCGACGAGGUGGUCCCCGUGGCGAUGGAGAGCCGGAUGGGCAUGUUCCACGGCACCACGGCGAGGGGGUGGAAGGGGAUGGACCCCUUCUACUUCUUCAUGAACCCCAGCCCGCUGUACACCGUCACGUUCCUGAGCAAGCUGCCGUCGGAGCUCACCUGCAGCAGCGGCGGCAGGCCCAGCCACGAGGUGGCCAACUACAUCCAGAGGCUCAUCGCUGCCACGCUCUCCUACCAGUGCACCAGCCUCACCAGGAAGGACAAGUACCGGGCCCUGGCCGGCAACGACGGCAUCGUGGACGUCAAGCCCAUGAACAAAGCACGCUAG